rnacentral:rRNA from 1 species
AUUGAACGCUGGCGGCAGGCCUAACACAUGCAAGUCGAGCGAGCGGCGGAUGGGUGAGUAAUGUAUGGGGACUGCCCGAUAGAGGGGGAUAACUACUGGAAACGGUGGCUAAUACCGCAUACUAUCGGAUAACCCAUAUGGGAUUAGCUAGUAGGUGGGGUAAAGGCUCACCUAGGCGACGAUCUCUAGCUGGUCUGAGAGGAUGAUCAGCGCCGCUGGGACUGAGACACGGCCCAGACUCCUACGGAGGCAGCAGUGGGGAAUAUUGCGCAAUGGGCGCAAGCCUGAUGCAGCCAUGCCGCGUGUAUGAAGAAGGCCUUGGGGUUGUAAAGUACUUUCAGCGGGGUGUCGUUACCCGCAGAAGAAGCACCGGCUAACUCCGUGCCAGCCGCCGCGGUAAUUC